UGGAAGGAUCUGACCAGGAAGCUCCUGUGGAGGACCAGCCAUGGAGGUGCCAGGGACUGAAGCCUCUCCAGGCUGGCUCGAAGCUCUACUACAGGAGGAACUGGGGGAGGUGACUGACCCAGAGGACUGCAGGGAACCUAGGGACUCGUGGGAGACCUCAACACUUAAGCUGUAGGGGCUACCCUGAAGUGGUGCUGGCUUGGACUGUCUCUGAGUGCCCUGAAGAGGAUGGGAGAGUGAGCCCUGCUCUUGAGGAAAGCUGACUGUGCAGACCCAGCUGGAGAUGACGGAGCUUGAUUUGUACUUAAAUCAAGCCAACGUCUCUGAUGUGAUUAUGACUGGAGAAAACUGUUUCUAAAACAUAACACAACAACUUACAGUUUCAGCCCACUUCUGCCACAGAUUGGCAAAAGAAUGGCAAGUGGCCUUGCUCUACACCCUUUGACUUCAGUGGGAGAUGGGUUAGGCCAAUACUUAGCUCUUUUGAAAAUCUUAUCCUUAAGUCUUUGAAUGUUCUGUUCUUCCUAAUCCUUCUUUCUGGCUGCCUUAAAGUGUGGUUCAACUCUCUAAUAA